UUUCCAAUUGCCAUUCCCUAUCUCGUUCUAUUUUCCCUCAUCUUUCCUUAUUACGCCCGCAACUCAAUUUUUUUCUAUUUUCUUCCUUCCUCUUUUUCUCUGUUAGGGUUUUAUUUUCUAUUCGCUUUUUUUUUUUUUAAUAAUCAUAAACGAAGCUAUGUCGAAGAAGAGGAAAUCCGAUGCUACGCGCCUGGACGAGGUGGAUCGGAGCAUGUACACCACCUUCUGCAGCGCGGCUAACUCGCUUUCGCAGCUUUACUCGCAGGCCAUGAACCACCAGCGCCUCUCGUUCCAGGCCGGUGAACGUCACGCGCUGGAGAAACUUUUUCAAAUGGAUUCUGAGGCAGCAAGAAGAAGGAUCAAGGGUGACAACAGCUGAUAUAUUUGCUUAUUUGCAGAAUGAGCUUGAAUAUGGAGCAGAGGAGUCUCCAAUGUCCCCCAGGCUGUCAUUUCAGCACCAGCACCCUCAAACUGCAACACACCCAAACACUUUAGGUGCUCCUUUUGUUCUACUCCAAUUUCACC